rnacentral:rRNA from 1 species
GAUGAACGCUGGCGGCGUGCCUAAUACAUGCAAGUCGAGCGAACAGAUGAGGAGCUUGCUCCUCUGACGUUAGCGGCGGACGGGUGAGUAACACGUGGAUAACCUACCUAUAAGACUGGGAUAACUUCGGGAAACCGGAGCUAAUACCGGAUAAUAUAUUGAACCGCAUGGUUCAAUAGUGAAAGACGGUUUUGCUGUCACUUAUAGAUGGAUCCGCGCCGCAUUAGCUAGUUGGUAAGGUAACGGCUUACCAAGGCAACGAUGCGUAGCCGACCUGAGAGGGUGAUCGGCCACACUGGAGCUGAGACACGGUCCAGACUCCUACGGGAGGCAGCAGUAGGGAAUCUUCCGCAAGGGGCGAAAGCCUGACGGAGCAACGCCGCGUGAGUGAUGAAGGUCUUCGGGUCGUAAAACUCUGUUAUUAGGGAAGAACAAAUGUGUAAGUAACUAUGCACGUCUUGACGGUACCUAAUCAGAAAGCCACGGCUAACUACGU